AGUGAACGCUGGCGGUAGACCUAACACAUGCAAGUCGAACGGCAGCACAGUAAGAGCUUGCUCUUACGGGUGGCGAGUGGCGGACGGGUGAGGAAUACAUCGGAAUCUACUUUUUCGUGGGGGAUAACGUAGGGAAACUUACGCUAAUACCGCAUACGACCUACGGGUGAAAGCAGGGGAUCUUCGGACCUUGCGCGAUUGAAUGAGCCGAUGUCGGAGUAGCUAGUUGGCGGGGUAAAGGCCCACCAAGGCGACGAUCCGUAGCUGGUCUGAGAGGAUGAUCAGCCACACUGGAACUGAGACACGGUCCAGACUCCUACGGGAGGCAGCAGUGGGGAAUAUUGGACAAUGGGCGCAAGCCUGAUCCAGCCAUACCGCGUGGGUGAAGAAGGCCUUCGGGUUGUAAAGCCCUUUUGUUGGGAAAGAAAAGCAGCAGGUUAAUACCCCGCUGUUCUGACGGUACCCAAAGAAUAAGCACCGGCUAACUUCGUG
rnacentral:rRNA from 1 species